rnacentral:rRNA from 1 species
GACGAACGCUGGCGGCGCGCUUAACACAUGCAAGUCGAACGGAAAGGCCUGCUUUCCCUUGUGGAUUGCGGGUACUCGAGUGGCGAACGGGUGAGUAACACGUGAGUGAUCUGCCCCCAACUUGGGUAUAAGCCUGGGAAACUGGGUCUAAUUCCCGAUAGGACUGCAGGGUGGUGCCUGUGGUGGAAAACGAUUUUCUAGUGGUUGGGGAUGAGCUCGCGGCCUAUCAGCUUGUUGGUGGGGUAAUGGCCUACCAAGGCGGCGACGGGUAGCCGGCCUGGGAGGGUGGACGGCCACAUUGGGACUGGGAGACGGCCCAGACUCCUACGGGAGGCAGCAGUGGGGAAUAUUGCACAAUGGGCGGAAGCCUGAUGCAGCGACGCCGCGUGGGGGAUGACGGCCUUCGGGUUGUAAACUCCUUUCGACCGCGAGGAAGCCACCUGGUUGGAAGGGUGGUGACGGUAGUGGUAGAAGAAGCACCGGCUAACUACGU